rnacentral:rRNA from 1 species
UACGGGGGGGGCAAGCGUUGUUCGGAAUUACUGGGCGUAAAGGGUUCGUAGGUGGCCAACUAAGUCAGACGUGAAAUCCCUCAGCUUAACUGGGGAACUGCGUCUGAGACUGGAUGGCUUGAGUGCAGGAGAGGAACGCGGAAUUCCAGGUGUAGCGGUGAAAUGCGUAGAUAUCGUAAGGAAGACCAGUGGCGAAGGCGGGUCUCUGGACAGUUCCUGACGCUGAGGCACGAAGGUCAGGGGAGCAAACGGG